UAGUCACUAUGAUGUUGGCUCGGGUCACUCAGAUGUGACGAACUUUACACGCUAUUUUGGUAAGAGUUCGUUUUUCGUUUCUGAUUGAGCCGUGCCAAUAUCUCAGUGCCAUUU
rfam:Erythranthe guttata cultivar DTN x IM62 scaffold_98_contig_46, whole genome shotgun sequence.